UACAGAGGGGGCGAGCGUUGUUCGGAAUUACUGGGCGUAAAGGGCGCGUAGGCGGCCAACUAAGUCAGACGUGAAAUCCCUUGGCUCAACCAAGGAACUGCGUCUGAUACUGGAUGGCUUGAAUCCGGGAGAGGGAUGUGGAAUUCCAGGUGUAGCGGUGAAAUGCGUAGAUAUCUGGAGGAACACCGGUGGCGAAGGCGGCAUCCUGGACCGGUAUUGACGCUGAGGCGCGAAAGCCAGGGGAGCAAACGGG
rnacentral:rRNA from 1 species